rnacentral:rRNA from 1 species
GACGAACGCUGGCGGCGUGCCUAAUACAUGCAAGUCGAGCGGACUUAAAAAGCUUGCUUUUUAAGUUAGCGGCGGACGGGUGAGUAACACGUGGGCAACCUGCCUGUAAGACUGGGAUAACUUCGGGAAACCGGAGCUAAUACCGGAUAAUCCUUUUCUACUCAUGUAGAAAAGCUGAAAGACGGUUUACGCUGUCACUUACAGAUGGGCCCGCGGCGCAUUAGCUAGUUGGUUAGGUAACGGCUCACCAAGGCGACGAUGCGUAGCCGACCUGAGAGGGUGAGCGGCCACACUGGGACUGAGACACGGCCCAGACUCCUACGGGAGGCAGCAGUAGGGAAUCUUCCGCAAUGGACGAAAGUCUGACGGAGCAACGCCGCGUGAGUGAUGAAGGUUUUCGGAUCGUAAAACUCUGUUGUUAGGGAAGAACAAGUACGAGAGUAACUGCUCGUACCUUGACGGUACCUAACCAGAAAGCCACGGCUAACUACGUG